GGCCGCUGCUUCUCUCCGUCCUCCCUUCCCCCCAGGCUGGUGCCAGGCGGGGCUCGCUGCUGCUGCUGGGGCCGGUGACCUUCGAGGAGGUGGCUGUGUAUUUCACCAGGGAAGAGGGGGCUCUGCUGGACCCCGCUCAGAGAGCUCUCUACAGAGCCGUUAUGCAGAACUAUGAGAAUGUGACCUCGCUGGGGAAGCGAAAGAGACUUUACUGGACUUUGUACAAUUUGUCCUCAUCUUUCCUGAAAUGUGGUACCCAGAACUGGACACACUACUCCAGUUCAGGCCUAAUCAGCGUGGAGUAGAGCGGAAGAAUUACUUCUCGUGUCUUGCUUACAACACUCCUGCUAAUACAGCCCAGAAUGAUGUUUGC